rnacentral:rRNA from 1 species
CAGCAGCCGCGGUAAUACGGAGGGAGCUAGCGUUGUUCGGAAUUACUGGGCGUAAAGCGCACGUAGGCGGCGAUUUAAGUCAGAGGUGAAAGCCCGGGGCUCAACCCCGGAAUAGCCUUUGAGACUGGAUUGCUCGAAUCCGGGAGAGGUGAGUGGAAUUCCGAGUGUAGAGGUGAAAUUCGUAGAUAUUCGGAAGAACACCAGUGGCGAAGGCGGCUCACUGGACCGGCAUUGACGCUGAGGUGCGAAAGCGUGGGGAGCAAACAGGAUUAGAUACCCCCGUAGUCCCUGUCUCUUAUAC